UGCCAGCCGCCGCGGUAAUACGGAGGGAGCUAGCGUUGUUCGGAAUUACUGGGCGUAAAGCGCUCGUAGGCGGAUUGGUCAGUCAGAGGUGAGAGCCCAGGGCUCAACCUUGGAAUUGCCUUUGAUACUGCCAGUCUUGAGUUCGGGAGAGGUGAGCGGAAUUCCGAGUGUAGAGGUGAAAUUCGUAGAUAUUCGGAGGAACACCAGUGGCGAAGGCGACUUCCUGGGCCAAUACUGACGCUGAGGUGCGAAAGCGUGGGGAGCAAACAGGAUUAGAUA
rnacentral:rRNA from 1 species